AUGAAAAAUGGCCUAGCCUGGGAUAUUGAUAAUUUCCGUAUAUAAUAAUCUUCUGGAUAUAGGCUUUCUAGAAAUAUUUUUCUUUUUUUCAUAUAUUCUAUACUUUUUUGUUAAUAUGACGUUGAAUAUUGUGGUAUUUAAUGUUAAAAAAUUAACAUUUCGGGAUACACGUCACAACAAUAAACCUGCAAUGAUCAUGUACAAUGUACAUGAACCUAUAAAUCUCUGAAUAUAUCAAGUUAUAUGCACUCAUAUAGCUAGAAUGGCUAAUUCAAUGAUCAUAAUAAGCAUUUUUGACCAAAUAUGGGAAAUAGAAAUAAGAAAUAUUUUGGAAAUGAUGUUCAAAGCCGUGAUUGUUCAACUUUACUUUUAAAUUAUUUUUACUUGAAUUUUGAAAUACUGAAAUAAGAAGAAUAAAUAUAGUAUGUAGUCUAUUUACAUGGUGAAAGAAGUGAAUCAUUGGAACAAUUCUGUUUCAUAUCAUAUUCCAUGGUUUUUGGAUUUUGUUUUGUUUUUUGGUUGUUUUUUUUUUUUUUUUGUAUUAAAACGACCGAGUAUCGAUAUCAAUGGUAACGAAAUAAGUUGACACCGCGUCUCGUCAAAACAUGUUCAAUUCGAAUUUACUCGGAAUUACACGGUCAACGAGCAUUUGCUGUGAAACCUGAUUAAAGGAAAAUUACUGUAGACACCUAAUAGUGAUUUGUACAGAAGCGAAUGAUGGCCUCUUUUGAAAUUAAGAUUUCAUGCCUUACUCCUACUGGGACUACAACUAACUUUGGACCUGGUCACUCGCAGAUACAGCAUGAAGUGUGCCCUCUUGAUGUACAUGGGGAUGGGAGUGAUACAGAAGGGGGACUAAUUGGAAGAACUGCUACUGCUGGUGGUGGUGCUGGACUGUCUUGAAUCUGUUGCCUAACCGACUUGAUAUUCUUCUGUUUAAUAUGGGAGCAACACACACACUCUGGCAUAUAUUGCACAGAAAAUCAUGAUCAGAUGGUGCCCUCCCUAUCAGAGUGGUGAUCACUGUCCUAUAUUUCUUUGAAAUCCUGGAUCUGUGUUUUGGUUUUACUCUCCAUGGACAGUUGAAACAGAGAAAGAAUUAGGGACCACUCCUUGGCAUAUCUGAAAUAUUUAUGUCAUAUAUAUGUAAUUAAAAUAUACAAUUUGGGUUGGAUGAAAAUCUUAUCUUCAUGUUAAAACCCAUUAGCCUAGGUUAUUUUUCCUAAAAUCUAAUUAUAAAUCAAUUAACUUGUUAAUUAAUGCUUGGUGAAUCAAUUAAUAAAUUGUAUUCAAAAACUUGAAAUUAUUUUUUUUCCACUAAUAAACUGAAAAUGUGUAUCUUCAAAUGUUUUGUUGAUUAAUGUCAGUGUGAAAUAUAGAGGGGGUAUGGGGUUUACAACAAUGUAUAUUACAUGGUUAAUUUAUUUCUAUUAUGUAGUCCAUGUAAAUUUCUGUGGAAACGAGGAAGUUAUUUAUAUUCGGUCUUUCCUAUCCCGGGGUAGGAAAGACCGAAUAUAAAUAACACCCUCGUUUCCACGGAAAUUAAGUCCAUGAGAGCCUGAAAUCUCCCAACCUGGGUCUGUUUAAUGGACCCUUCCAAAGUCCUUUUUUAAGGAAAAAGUAAACCAUUUUCCUAAUCCAAAAAGAAAACUGGUGCAAAAACCAUGCACAUCUCCAUACAUGAAAUAAUAUAAAUAAUAGAAAAAUUAUCAGUAGUAUUGUAAUACAUUUUUGGGGGGUGGGGGUUUGCCGUUUCACCUUUAUAGAUUGGGUUUUUUUCCUAACAUUUAAAACAUAUCUUUUCAAUAUCAAUUUUGUCUUUAGCACAAAAUAAAAAUUCUAAAAUCAAUGAAAGCGUUUGAUUUUCGUGUGUAUAUAUAAAACAAAACGAAAGAAAAAAAAACUAGGAUCCUCCACUAGUAAACUAUGUUUUCCAUUUAGAGUUAUUGCCCUUCAAUUGAAAAAAAGUAAAUAUAAUUAAAUGAAUACUUUACAUUUCAACACAAGUUAUGUCAAAUAUUAUUUAACAAGAUAUAUUUUGAUAUGUAUUUAAAUUGACCUACUUCAUUAAAAACAAACUU